rnacentral:rRNA from 1 species
AAUAGCUGGUUCCUCUCGAAACUGCUCGCAGGCAGACCUCAGCUGAGACGGGGCAUGCGGUAGAGCACUGAUUGCGUGUUUAGGAAGCGAAAGUUUUCGGCAUGCUGUCAAACUCCGAAUGUGUGUCCGUUGUAGAAGCUGGGCAGUGAGGGCAUCGGGGUAAGCUUGAUGUCCAUAAGGAAAACAAACCAGACCAAAGUUAAGGUCCCUAAGUAACAACUAAGUGUUAAAGAACAAAUAGUGUUUGAAAGCACAGACAGCUGGAAGGUUGGCUUAGAGGCAGCCAUCCUUUAAAGAGUUCGUAACAGAUCACCAGUCAAGUUCUUGAGCCUAGAAAAUGGACGGGACUAAGUUGUUCACCGAUACUUUGGGCCACCGAAAGGUGAUGCGGUAGAGAGGCGUCGUGCGCGGGUGGAAGUGGGGCCGUGAGGUCCUGUGGACCGCGUUCGAAUGAUAAUCAUGGAAAUAGUAGUAGCGUAGAUGGGUGAGAAUCCCAUCCGCCGGAGGGGCUAGGGUUCCUCGACGAUGUUCAUCAGUCGAGGGUUAGUCGGUCCUAAGGUUCCCCCUAACAGGAGGAAUCGAAAGGGAAGCAGGUUAAAAUUCCUGCACCAAUUCAUAUUUUGUCCAGUUCCUGACACAUCGGGUCUUGUGGAGCACUCUUGUCGGAGUGUUGCCUUGAGCAAUAAAAUUGUGGAGUACCGUAAUGGUGAGAAGCAAACUAAGCUUUUGGGAGGCGGAGUAUUCCGCUUCUGCGUUAGCCUGGUGUCCGUGAAAAGGGAGCUGGAGCCGUAUGAGUUGUCCGUACCGAGAUCUGACACAGGUGCCCCUAGGUGAGUAGCCUAAGGCGUCGCGGCAGAAUCCGGGCGAGGGAAUUCGGCAAAUUAGCCCCGUACCUUUGGUAUAAGGGGUGCCAGCUCUGAAGAGAGCUGGUCGCAGUGACUAGGGAGCUCCGACUGUUUAUUAAAAACACAGGUGGCUGCUAGUCCGUAAGGAUGUGUAUAGCCGCUGAAUCCUGCCCAGUGGCAGUAUCUGAAACCAGGUUUCAACCUGACGAAGGACUGCUAAACGGCGGGGGUAACUAUGACCCUCUUAAGGUAGCGUAAUACCUUGUCGCUUAAUUGGCGACUUGCACGAACGGCCUAACGAGAGCUCUACUGUCCCCGCCCGGAGCCCGAUGAAAUUGACUUACUGGCGCACAGUCCAGUACGUCCCAGCCGCAAGCGAAGACCCCGUGGAGCUUUACUGCAACCUGCCGUUGUGGCACGAGUUGUUAUGUGUAGCGUAGACGGGAGACAUUACACAGGUGCGAGCGCUAGCUCGUCGCCGAGUCAACUAUGAAACACCGUCCUUUUCGAUUCGUCCCACUCACCUCUUAGGAGGAACCCCGGUAGGCGGGCAGUUUGGGUGGGGCGCCACUCCCUCGAAAAAAUAACAAGGGAGCCCAAAGGUCAGCUUAGGUAGGUCAGGAAUCUACCGUUAAGUGCAAGGGCAAAAGCUGGCUUGACGUGGUUUGGCAACACAACAAACCACGAUGUGAAAGCAGGGCCUAGCGAACCAACCAGCGCCGUUAGUAGGUGCGGUUGAUAACAGAAAAGUUACCCCGGGGAUAACUGAGUUGUCUGGAGCAAGAGCCCACAUCGACCUCCAGGCUUGCUACUUCGAUGUCGUCUCUUCCUAUCCUGGGUGUGCAGAAGCACCCAAGGGUGGGGUUGUUCGCCCAUUAAAAGGGAUCGUGAGAUGGGUUUAGACCGUCGUGAGACAGGUUUGUUGCUAUGUGCUGGGACUGUCCAAUGCCUGAGGGGAAGGAUCCUCUAGUACGAGAGGAACGAGGGUUCGCAGCCACUAGUUUACCAGUUGUCUGACAAGGCACCGCUGGGCAGCCACGCUGUAAGGGAUAAGAGCUGAAAGCAUCUAAGCUCGAAACCCGCCUCAAAACGAGGCAUUUUGACACUUAUAGAAGAUAAGAUUGAUAGGACCGGGGUGUAAGCACCGAGAGCUAUAGUGUUGUUGGAAGUACUACUUCGGUAGUGCGGAAAAUAACAUUU